GGAACAACUAACUAAUCUCAUGUUCUACAAACAUGUUAGAGUCUCUCCUAUUCUAAGAAACAAAAAACAAGCAAACCAAUCAAAAGCAACUUUUUUUUACUGGGACCAUCUCUUCAAGUUAUCAUUCUAUAUUUCUACUUCUCCUUUAUUGUAUGAAGGUGACACAGCCUUCUCAAAAAUUAUGAUAGAAGAGCAUAAAUUCUGGGAAGUCCUACCAAGAUUUCAAGGAUGAUCUCAAUGAAUAAUUAUAUUUCUGUUGUUCAAGAAGUAGCUCAACUCAGAUCUUCAAGGCUCAUCCCCGUAAAAGAAGCCCUGAAUUGCCUAUUCCUGACUCCCAUGAAUAAGUCAAUCAAAAGUUACUGCUUUGAGUCAAAGAUCAUUGCAAGGCAUACAGAACUAAGAGUGAGUUUAGGGGAUGCUUCAAAAUAAAUUACAAAGUUGAAAUAGAU